GCCCGGCUUGCUCAGUCGGUAGAGCAUCAAACUUUUAAUCUGAAGGUCAUGGGUUCAAGUCCCAUGUUGGGAGCA